UAUAUCUGAGCAUCUAAUGCACCACUUUCAAAUACAGUCAUUUCUUUUUCCCAUGUCCAAAUAUUCGAAAUAGAGCUAUAAUACUUGAGCUGUUUGAUACAGCAGGACAAACAGAAGCAACAAAAUCGAAGUAAAAAUCAGAGAAGAACAAUGCCAGUCAACUUUGCUUUGGAUAAGCCUCAUCGGGGCGCCAUUAAGAAAGCUAUUAUGCUGACGCUUUGUGAGGGUAACAAAGAGGUGGCAUUGCAAGUGAGCCAGAAACAAGGACGGAGAGGAAGAGUGAAGGAGCAAGGACGUAUUGGUGCUCAACUGCAAGUCAGCUGCAAACAAGGGGUGAGAAGAAAGAUAGACAAAGGAUGGAUAUUACAUUGGUACAGCCAAAAUAGCCACUGCUAAUUUUUCUACUUACUUAAAAUAUGAUCACAAAGACGACAGCAACAAGUACCCAGUAAAAUCCCACAAGUAAAACAUGAUCACAAAGACAAUGUGCAAAAUGGGGGGACUAUGACAUGUAGAUGGAAGCUUUACUAAGCAGACCAUGGACCACUAUGCAUUAGUGCCUGGUUUCUCUGUAAAUAAAUUUAUGAGUGAUGUAAAAUCGGAACUUGCUCAUAAGUUUGUAUUCCCUCCUGCACUUUCAAAGUCCAAAUUACCCCAUUGACGUGUAACUUCUGUUGUUUACCAAAUGAUACAUGCGCCUCUCAAACAAGUCAAGAUCACAUCCCCUACAAGUAUAGUAUUCUUUCAUGUAAUGAGCAAACUGAAUUGGCAGCAAAGACAUAAUUGUUGAAGUAUUGAGUUA